rnacentral:rRNA from 1 species
CCCAAGUAGCACGGGGCCCGAGAAAUCCCGUGUGAAUCUGGCGGGACCACCCGCUAAGCCUAAAUAUUCCCUGGUGACCGAUAGCGGAUAGUACCGUGAGGGAAUGGUGAAAAGUACCGCGGGAGCGGAGUGAAAUAGUACCUGAAACCGUGUGCCUACAAGCCGUGGGAGCGUCGGAAUGUGCUUGCACAUUCUCGUGACUGCGUGCCUUUUGAAGAAUGAGCCUGCGAGUUUGCGGUGUGUUGCGAGGUUAACCCGGGUGGGGUAGCCGUAGCGAAAGCGAGUCCGAAUAGGGCGUUUCAGUAGCACGCUCAAGACCCGAAGCGGAGUGAUCUAGCCAUGGGCAGGUUGAAGCGGAGGUAAGACUUCGUGGAGGACCGAACCCACCAGGGUUGAAAACCUGGGGGAUGACCUGUGGUUAGGGGUGAAAGGCCAAUCAAACUCCGUGAUAGCUGGUUCUCCCCGAAAUGCAUUUAGGUGCAGCGUCGUGUGUUUCUUGCCGGAGGUAGAGCACUGGAUAGGCGAUGGGCCCUACCGGGUUACUGACCUUAGCCAAACUCCGAAUGCCGGUAAGUGAGAGCGCGGCAGUGAGACUGUGGGGGAUAAGCUCCAUGGUCGAGAGGGAAACAGCCCAGAGCAUCGACUAAGGCCCCUAAGCGUACGCUAAGUGGGAAAGGAUGUGGAGUCGCACAGACAACCAGGAGGUUGGCUUAGAAGCAGCCACCCUUGAAAGAGUGCGUAAUAGCUCACUGGUCUAGUGAUUCCGCGCCGACAAUGUAGCGGGGCUCAAGCGUACCGCCGAAGUCGUGUCAUUCACACAACAGGGCCAACGCCUGUGUGGAUGGGUAGGGGAGCGUCGUGUGCCGGGUGAAGCAGCGCCGGAAGGCAGUUGUGGACGGUUCACGAGUGAGAAUGCAGGCAUGAGUAGCGAUUCACACGUGAGAAACGUGUGCGCCGAUUGACUAAGGGUUCCUGGGUCAAGCUGAUCUGCCCAGGGUAAGUCGGGACCUAAGGCGAGGCCGACAGGCGUAGUCGAUGGAUAACCGGUUGAUAUUCCGGUACCCGCUGUGAAGCGUCAAACAUCGAACCAGGCGAUGCUAAGUCCGUGAAGCCGCCCCGGAGCCUUCGGGCAAGGGGGAGUGGUGGAGCCGACGGACCAGACCUGUAGUAGGUGAGUGAUGGGGUGACGCAGGAAGGUAGUCCAGCCCGGGCGGUGGUUGUCCCGGGGUAAGGGUGUAGCCCGAGUGGUAGGCAAAUCCGCCACUCAUAUGGGGUGAGACCUGAUGCCGAGCCGAUUGUGGUGAAGUGGAUGAUCCUAUGCUGUCGAGAAAAGCCUCUAGCGAGUUUCAUGGCGGCCCGUACCCUAAACCGACUCAGGUGGUCAGGUAGAGAAUACCGAGGCGUUCGGGUGAACUAUGGUUAAGGAACUCGGCAAAAUGCCCCCGUAACUUCGGGAGAAGGGGGGCCACACCUGGUGAUGGGCUUUACGUCCUGAGCUGGGGGUGGCCGCAGAGACCAGCGAGAAGCGACUGUUUACUAAAAACACAGGUCCGUGCGAAGCCGUAAGGCGAUGUAUACGGACUGACGCCUGCCCGGUGCUGGAACGUUAAGGGGACCGGUUAGCUCCAUUUCGGUGGGGCGAAGCUGAGAACUUAAGCGCCAGUAAACGGCGGUGGUAACUAUAACCAUCCUAAGGUAGCGAAAUUCCUUGUCGGGUAAGUUCCGACCUGCACGAAUGGCGUAACGACUUCUCGACUGUCUCAACCAUAGGCCCGGUGAAAUUGCACUACGAGUAAAGAUGCUCGUUUCGCGCAGCAGGACGGAAAGACCCCGGGACCUUUACUACAGUUUGAUAUUGGUGUUCGGUUCGGCUUGUGUAGGAUAGCUGGGAGACUGUGAAGCUCAUACGCCAGUAUGGGUGGAGUCGUCGUUGAAAUACCAGUCUGGUCGUGCUGGAUGUCUAACCUGGGUCCGUGAUCCGGAUCAGGGACAGUGUCUGAUGGGUAGUUUAACUGGGGCGGUUGCCUCCUAAAGAGUAACGGAGGCGCCCAAAGGUUCCCUCAGCCUGGUUGGCAAUCAGGUGUUGAGUGUAAGUGCACAAGGGAGCUUGACUGUGAGACCGACGGGUCGAGCAGGGACGAAAGUCGGGACUAGUGAUCCGGCGGUGGCUUGUGGAAGCGCCGUCGCUCAACGGAUAAAAGGUACCCCGGGGAUAACAGGCUGAUCUUCCCCAAGAGUCCAUAUCGACGGGAUGGUUUGGCACCUCGAUGUCGGCUCGUCGCAUCCUGGGGCUGGAGUCGGUCCCAAGGGUUGGGCUGUUCGCCCAUUAAAGCGGUACGCGAGCUGGGUUUAGAACGUCGUGAGACAGUUCGGUCCCUAUCCGCUGCGCGCGCAGGAGUCUUGAGAAGGGCUGUCCCUAGUACGAGAGGACCGGGACGGACGAACCUCUGGUGUGCCAGUUGUCCUGCCAAGGGCAUGGCUGGUUGGCUACGUUCGGGAGGGAUAACCGCUGAAAGCAUCUAAGCGGGAAGCCUGCUUCGAGAUGAGGACUCCCACCCACUUGAUGGGGUAAGGCUCCCAGUAGACGACUGGGUUGAUAGGCCGGAUCUGGAAGCACCGCAAGGUGUGGAGGUGACCGGUACUAAUAGGCCGAGGGCUUGUCCUC